rfam:TPA: Bos taurus chromosome 7, whole genome shotgun sequence.
UCCCUGGUGGCUCAGUUGGUAAAGAAUCUGCCUGCAAUGCAGGAGACCUGGGUUAGAUCCCUGGCUUGGGAA